rnacentral:lncRNA from 1 species
AUGAAUCGGCCACAGGUACAUGAUAACCCCAUUGUGAAACCCCUCCCACCUCCUUCUCUACCUCAUCCCUCUGGGUUGUCCCAGACCACCUGCUUUGGGUGCCCUGCUUCAUGCAUCGAGCUUGCACUGGCCAUCUAUUUUACAUAUGGUAAUGUACAUGUUUCAAUGCUAUUCUCUCAAAUCAUCCCACCCUCACCUUCUCCCACAGAGUCCAAAAGUCUGUUCUUUUUUUUUUCCCAGAUCAACAUCUUACACUUUAUAAUACACUCACAAAUUUUUACACAAAUAUGUUUACAAGUACAAAAAGGCAAAGAACCUCAGAGAAUCGAAGUAACUGUAUCAUCGACUGCAUUCAGUAGAGCCAGAUCAUCCAGGGGAGAGUCAUCCAUUGCUGUCUAAGUUUCAUUGCUGGUGAAGAAUAAGCUCCCCGAAGUUUCGAAGCCACAAUUCAUUGUCUGUGUUUCGGCACUGUUGAACUGAACUUUGCUUUCCAGGGCAGGCAGGUUUUUAGCAGUGGAGAGUCUGUCAGUCUGGGUCUCUGUGUCAGAUGAAUCAGUACUCAUGGAAAAGCUGGAGUGUUUCAGGAUACUUCCCAGUGGCAGAUGAGGGCUACUGUCUAAAAAGAAGUUCAGGUCCAUCUGUGUCUGCAUGUCAAACAUUUCAAGGCCUAAGAAGCUAGAAUUUCCCUUACAACUGUAGGCCUGGGCAGAAGGGUCUGCAAGGAAGAGAUCAAUUUGGGUUUCUGUGUCCAGCGAUUCCAAGACUGGCUCAGUGGUCAUGGUGCUAAGCUCACUCUCUUUGGUUUGUGUAUUUGAGGCUGAAAACUCUUCAGUAUCAAAAUCAACUGCAGGAUUCUGGAUUGGGCCAGAUGGGAGCUGGGUGUCAGGUCCAGUAUUUGUGUCAGACAAAAGACUAUGAUUGUCCACGUCUGACCAGGUAGGUUACUUGACAAGAUGUUUUCUAGAUCACUUAAUAAAUCCAUGGUUUGGGUUUGAUUAUCUGUCA